CUGGCCUUGAGAAAAAAAUACAUAUCUGACUAAUUCUACAGACCUGCAGAGUCCUCACUCAGGGAAUACACCAUUUGAGUGGGAACUUUCCUGUUAAGGGAUGAAGGUAUGGUAUUAUUAGUGAAUGAGAACAGCACUUCCAUCAGUUCCAGUUGCUAAAUGCUUCAGGUAAUAUUUUUACACUAAUAUUUUCAUUGAUUUGCAUAGGCAUAAACAUUACAGUGCACGUCAAUAAAUGCAGUCUAAAACUGUUGUGCUCUUCAAAUAUAGCCAGCUCUGAAUAUCAACUGCAAAACAGAAUCAUCCAUGAACAACCGUACAAAGAAAAGCAGAAUGAAUACAAGAACACUUCCAGAAACAACCUCCAUGGGAGAAAGUACUUCGAUAUACAGGGGAUGAGUACAGCAUAAAUACAGGCAGCAAUACAAAGGAAAGAUAAAGCCCCAGAGAACAUACAUCCAGUUGUGCAGUGGUCCAAGAACUGAACUCAGGAACUAUAUUUGGAGAGCAAGAUCUGGGACCAGAGGAAGAGUACAUAAAUCAUCUCCCUUAUGGAAACAGUAUGUAUAUGUCAAGAGAUGACAUCAAUAUGAUUUAUCAAAAACAACCAACACCUGUGAAAUUAAAGAGAAAAUUAAGUCCUUUCUAUUACUUAUGGCUAGAAAACUUCUACCAAAACUAUUUCUGAGAGAAUAUUUUUAAUGAAAAAUCAUAUGGAAAAUUGGUCCCAUUCUUCA